UACGGGGGGGGCAAGCGUUGUUCGGAAUUACUGGGCGUAAAGGGCUCGUAGGCGGCCAACUAAGUCAGACGUGAAAUCCCCAGGCUCAACCUGGGAACUGCGUCUGAUACUGGUUGGCUUGAAUCCGGGAGAGGGAUGCAGAAUUCCAGGUGUAGCGGUGAAAUGCGUAGAUAUCUGGAGGAAUACCGGUGGCGAAGGCGGCAUCCUGGACCGGCAUUGACGCUGAGGCACGAAAGCCAGGGGAGCAAACGGG
rnacentral:rRNA from 1 species